rnacentral:rRNA from 1 species
CCUACGGGCGGCUUCAGUGGGGAAUAUUGGACAAUGGGCGAAAGCCUGAUCCAGCCAUGCCGCGUGUGUGAAGAAGGCCUUCGGGUUGUAAAGCACUUUCAGUGGGGAAGAAAGCCUUGGGGCUAAUACCCUCGAGGAAGGACAUCACCCACAGAAGAAGCACCGGCUAACUCCGUGCCAGCAGCCGCGGUAAUACGGAGGGUGCGAGCGUUAAUCGGAAUUACUGGGCGUAAAGCGCGCGUAGGCGGUCUGAUAAGCCGGUUGUGAAAGCCCCGGGCUCAACCUGGGAACGGCAUCCGGAACUGUCAGGCUAGAGUGCAGGAGAGGAAGGUAGAAUUCCCGGUGUAGCGGUGAAAUGCGUAGAGAUCGGGAGGAAUACCAGUGGCGAAGGCGGCCUUCUGGACUGACACUGACGCUGAGGUGCGAAAGCGUGGGUAGCAAACAGGAUUAGAUACCCUUGUAGUC